GAGCAUCCUUUCUAAACCCCCCAGUUGACAUUUGUGGUCUCUGGGACAAAAAAGGAUGCAAGAUCAAUCUUAGAAUCAUCCAAAGCUGAGAGCCUGUUGUCAGUAGCUCUUGGUUAUUUCACCUCUAAGACAGAA
ensembl:snoRNA